rnacentral:lncRNA from 1 species
GUUCAAUUGAUCCAUAUAGUCACUGCUUUCUAACAUGCAUUUAAUAUCUACAAGUCAGCUUUUUUAUUUAAAACUAUAUGAUAAAAAUACUCUUAUUUUUUAAAAAAAUUAUGAUACUCUGUGUCCAUAUUAUGACAUUCUGCAUUCAGAAAGUCAUAAUUUUUAUCUACGGGAUGUCAUAAUAUAACGUAGAAUAUCAUAAUAUAUACAGGAUGUUAUAAUUUUUU